AUGCGGCAGAUUCGGCUCAUCACCAACAUGAGGGCUCAUAAUGACAUGUGGUUUGCAUAUUACUUGCUCAGGGUCGGUAAUGGCACUGAGGAAGCCGACGAUCAAGGCAACAUACUACUCCCUGAUGACAUUUGUCUGCCAUCUACAUGCGAGGUUGACGACCUGGAGAAGCUGAUUGACCACGUGUUUCCGAGUCUAGAUGACAACAUGUCUGAUUCGAAUUACAUGACAUCUUGCACAAUCCUUUCCACGACAAACGACAACUAG
rnacentral:rRNA from 1 species